AUCAUUCAUACCCCCAAAGUGGCCUACUUUGGGGUGACAGGUCCUGAGCCUCUUCACCAUCAGUGACAGAAUGCUUCUCUAAAGAAGCAAAAGAGAUUCAGUCAGUGGGGCAUCUCCAAAGAAGAAAAAUAGGUGUUUACAGGGUGUGAUGUGAUUGUUUUAACUUUUCUCAUUUUAAGAAGAUAAUAAGUUUUAUGUCACAGUGAGCGUCACUUUAUAUUUGUGAUCAUUUCCGAUCUUUGUCUCAGGGCUCAUUACACCAUAAGCACAAAAAUGAUGCCUAGUCAAUAUUUUGCUAAGAUCUCUUUUCUUUACUUUUCCUAUGAUAAGAGAAAAACAUUCCAGGUCCACAAACAGGGCUUUAUUCACACAGGAUCUACAGCUUAACCUUCUGGAAAUAUUAUUACUUCUCAGUUAUCUUUUAGAUUCACGCCUUUGUUUUCAGAUGCUCUUGAUUGUGGGUUAUUUAAGAUUGGUUUUGGCAGUCUGUUUCUUUGUUUUAAUUGUCCUUUAAUGGAUUUUAAAUUUCAUUUCUAAUACUAACAUUAAUACUUAUCGAUCAGACAGUUUUAAUAAGUCAGACUUUACUUUUACAGUGACGUAAGGUGUUGAGAACAGGAAGAAAGGACUCCAUUUAACACUUAUUUGUGAAUUGUACUCUCAGAAGGGUUUUCAGUUAUAGAUAAAUCUAAGCAUAACUGCCACCAUUUUAUCAGUAAGAAUCCAGAAAAAUAGAGGAAAAAUAACAGAUUUCAUAAGAGUGGAUCUUGACCCCUGCUGCUCGUUAGAACUAACUGGGGAAAUUUUUUAAAAAAUCAAUUGUAUAUUCCCACUGUGAGCUGUCUCAAAAAUUCUUAACAGACCCCUUUCAGAGUUUCGAAACUGAUUUCCGGUAAGUUAGGAACAUUUCCGCUGGAAAGAUGAACAUCCCCAGCCACCUCACGGUUCUGAUGAACUGCUGGCAGUGGUGGGAAUUGGCAGUGACUUCAGCCCAAGGCCAGACCCUGUGCUUCCUCUCAUCACCUCUUAAAACAGUUCUUCCAAAUAGAUCGAGCCUUACGAGGAUUUCUAUCUUCCUGGAUAACUUCUGUCACUUUUCCUUAAGUGACCUGCUGAAGAGAGGCCCAAGCUGUCAGGAAGCCCAUGGAGAAGCCGAGAAGGUGCUGCACACUGGUGUCCACCUGACCAGUCAGCAUUUCACUGAGCCCAUACGGUGUACUAGUCGCCUUGGGACUGUGCUGGGUUCAUACUUCAAGAUAGGAGAAUCGUCCCAAAGUGACGGGAAGCAGUCCCCGGUGCUCGUUGCAGCUCAGCCGGGCCCCUCAUCUGCUGGGAGGAGGCUGGUUCUGUGGACACGAGUUCCUGUCUUCUCCCCAGUAUCGCUAGCCACAGGAAUCCCCUCAGCGAUGUUGGACUGGCCUCUCCUCAGGCCGGGAGAACUGGAAAGGAUUGGACUCCAGCUUCAGGAAAGGGUGUGAGAAAAGAUGGUUGCCUUUAUCCCUCAGACCAACAGGGUCAGUGGUCACUUGAAGAAAGGUGGUCAGUGGCUGAUGGUGCGAGGUAAGCUGUGCUGAAUCGCUUUUAUUGAUACAGUUUCUCAGGGUCCCUGUGUGCCCUGGACUCUCUAGCUGGUCAACAGCAAGCCCCAGUUUUUAUUUUAAUUCAUGCGUGUGUUUGUUUCGUGGAACAGUUUGGAAAAUGCUGCUAUGGAAGCAUAUGAAAGAUGUCUGCAAACAUUUUUAGAGCUAUAAUGCCAAAACACCUUUGACCUCAUAGCAUAUCUUCUUAUACUAGUGAUUGACUUUUGUUACAAAUAAAAGUCGGUCCUCAUAAAAAUAUCACUGCCUCUAUAUACACAUGCACACA
ensembl:lncRNA